UACAGAGGUCCCAAGCGUUGUUCGGAUUCAUUGGGCGUAAAGGGUGCGUAGGCGGCGGGGUAAGUCAGGUGUGAAAUCCCGGAGCUCAACUCCGGAACUGCACUUGAUACUGCCUUGCUCGAGUACUGGAGAGGAGACUGGAAUUUACGGUGUAGCAGUGAAAUGCGCAGAUAUCGGGAGGAACACCGGUGGCGAAGGCGGCUCUCUGGACCUGUCCUGACGCUGAGGCGCGAAAGCUAGGGGAGCGAACAGG
rnacentral:rRNA from 1 species